GGUCGCGUGGCCCAAUGGCAAGGCGUCUGACUACGACUGAGCAACGAGGUCAUCUCGGAGUUUCGGUACAUCAGGAGAUUGCGGGUUCGAUCCCCGUCGUGACCU
rfam:Trichosporon asahii var. asahii CBS 8904 unplaced genomic scaffold scaffold00066, whole genome shotgun sequence.